rnacentral:rRNA from 1 species
AUACCAGCUGGCUGCAACUGUUUAAUAAAAACACAGCACUGUGCAAACACGAAAGUGGACGUAUACGGUGUGACGCCUGCCCGGUGCUGGAAGGUUAAUUGAUGGGGUCAGCCGCAAGGCGAAGCUCUUGAUCGAAGCCCCAGUAAACGGCGGCCGUAACUAUAACGGUCCUAAGGUAGCGAAAUUCCUUGUCGGGUAAGUUCCGACCUGCACGAAUGGCGUAAUGAUGGCCAGGCUGUCUCCACCCGAGACUCAGUGAAAUUGAACUCGCUGUGAAGAUGCAGUGUACCCGCGGCAAGACGGAAAGACCCCGUGAACCUUUACUAUAGCUUGACACUGAACAUUGAGCCUUGAUGUGUAGGAUAGGUGGGAGGCAUUGAAGUGUGGACGCCAGUCUGCAUGGAGCCAACCUUGAAAUACCACCCUUUAAUGU